UACGUAGGUGGCAAGCGUUGUCCGGAUUUAUUGGGUUUAAAGGGUGCGUAGGCGGUCAGAUAAGUCAGUGGUGAAAUACGGCAGCUUAACUGUCGAGGUGCCAAUGAUACUGUUUGACUAGAGUACUGAUGAGGUAGGCGGAAUGGACGGUGUAGCGGUGAAAUGCUUAGAGAUCGUCCAGAACACCGAUAGCGAAGGCAGCUUACUAAGGAGUAACUGACGCUGAGGCACGAAAGUGUGGGGAUCAAACAGG
rnacentral:rRNA from 1 species